rnacentral:lncRNA from 1 species
AGUAUGCUCAUGGGAACCCAGCUGGAAAGUGCUGUGGAAGGACAAAUGGAGAAAAGUCUCCAGAAAUUGGCCUCGUUUGAAAGGACCUCAUGCAAAGAGAGAUCUUUGGAGACAUUUCAGAAAGGUUUUUAUUCAAACAUAUUCGCAGCUUGUAUGACAGUGGAAUGUUUUGAAAUGAGCUUGAUUCUGUUUACCCAUCCUUCUUAAUCCAACAACUCUGCUGGUCUCUCUGCUGACACAAGAUCGUUCGCAGGUUAUAGAAGGAUUUAACACGUCAGUCAGGGAAAUGAAGAGCCACUUUCAACAAUUCUGAAGAAGAAAUAUGGGAUGUUUUGCUUCGGGAUGGAGGCUGGAGCAGGAGUUUCUGGAGUCUGCCAGUACCCAGUUUGAAUCCCAGCUCUGCCUUUU